UGUCCCACUGCCCAAGUUAGUGUCUUUCCCCAGUCUCAGCUUGGUGCUGAGGGUGGAAAGUCCAUCCAAGGCACAGCAGAGCAACCUUUCUUGCUCUUUCUUACAGGUCGGGCUAUAUCAAACAAGUUCUUGAGCAUGUCGGAGCAACCACACCUUGCAGAACUUGCCUGGCUCUUCAGAUGCAGGAGGUAUUUAUCCCAGCUUUUGCCAGACUUCACAAAAGACUCCUGCAUGCUUCUACCCUCACGUGCCAUGGCCUGUGUGACUUGAUAUCCUUAAACAGUCUCUGCUACUGAUGUACCACUGGGCUUCCAACUCGAUGCUUCAGGAACAAAGCUGUCAGCUCAGGCCAAAACUGGUAAUUGGAAAACCGGAAAACCAGAAAGGAAAGGGAUGAACGGGAACCUGAGGCAGGAACAAGAGAAGAGGCAGUGAGGAGAGAGAUGCUGGAUGAUGGUAAAGAAAGAAAGCAGAAUAGGAACCAAGCAUGGAGGCCUCCAGCCAAGCCACCCCAUGCUUCUCUCAGCCUGUCAGUGUUUGGGUUUCUCUAAACUUAGAAAAUUCCCACAUAGAGAUUUUUUUAUCUUAUCACCAAGGCUUCUAAGUGCAACCCAAACUAAGAGACAUUACAUAGAAUAAAUGCUUAAACAGUAAACCCACAGAA